UGUUUUCCCCAAGGGUGGGGAAUAGAUGAGGCAGGGCGGUCCAGCUAGGUGCAGACCUAUGAUCAACAGAGGUUCUUUUGGGCUAACUGUUCUACUAACCCCAGUCUUCCCCCAGCCACCUGCCUGCCUUCUUGCUUAAAACCAGCCCAGGAGGUAACACUGGCUGCCUGUUUCCUCCUCAGGUUCAGUGUUGCCAUUGCAGGGAGGAGGACGGGGCAAAACUAUAAUUUAGGCCUUCUUCUUGAGAGAAGAAGGCAAAACUGCCACAUGAGAGCUGGGAGGGUCCACCCUCCUUGGAAUAAAGGUUAAGAUAUAUUGUUGAUACAUUGUAUAUCAACAAUAUAAGAUAUAUCAACAAAUUAUGUUCUGUUUUAUGGGUUUCCCCUUUUCUUUUCUUUUCUUUUCUUUUCUUUUCUUUUAUCUUCUUUUCUCUUCUUUUCUCUUCUUUUCUCUUUCUUACUUCUUCUCUUUCUUAUUGUUUUCCUUCAUUUAGAUUAGUUUGAUUUUCUGGUAUUUUAUGCUGAAAACUUUUAAUUUAAAAUUUUAUUUUUAAAAAGGAAGAGGCCUUGCUGCUUCUCUCUAUUGCUUGGGAGGUGAUGCCUUUCCAGACAUGGUGCCUUCUGAAACACCUAUACACACUUCCCUGGGAGUAAGCAGUGGGACUUAUUUCUGAUCAAAUAUGUAUCUUACCUCUCAGGAGAAUAUGUGAUUGCAGCUAUCACUGAGUUGUUUAAUCAAGUGAUAUAUAUAUAUAUAUAUAUAUAUAUAUAUAUAUAUAUAUAUGAGAAUGAGAGAGAAAUUGGGGUUGGCAGUUGGCUUUUAGUGUGCAAUUCCUUAACAAGGGGUUCAAUGUCAUCCAUUAUUGGUCAGAGAGAAAUGAGUGGAGGCAGGAACCAGUAGAAGAAAAGCAAGAUUUUUAUUUUUCUGUUACAACAGCGUCCCAUCCCAUCAACACACCCACUCCUUAUAUGCAGGUGAAGACCCAGAGAAAGAUGUGUAACAGCUUUUAACGGCUUUAUAAAUUGCCCAACCCCUUAGCCAAAGGCCACCCAAAGGCAUCAUACAAGGAGUGUGUGACUUGUCUCUUUUCUCUCAAGAUACCUGAUAAUGCUUGCUGAUUGCCUUAUCCUGGCCGGUCUUGAGGCACUCUUUUGAAAUGGUAAAUACUCUAGUUCUUGAAACCAUUCUCACAGACCUCCCCUAUUUAUACACAAAAUAUAGUCUGCCUCUCUUUUUCCCUGACAAGGAUUACUGUGCCCAGUGCUGUCACCACCCGGAGGUCAUAAAUGACAAUUGAACUUUGAAAGAUAGAAUAUACAGAUAACACAGAUAAUGAGUGUCCCGAAUGAAGAACUGCCAUCAUUGCAAGAGAGCUGCGACAUUUUAAUAUUGAUAUUGCAGCGCUUCAAGGAACUCGAAGAGCAGGUAAGGGACAACUGAAGGAAGAAAAAGGAGGCUACACUUUCUUCUGGAAAGGUCUACCUGAACAAGAAUGUCGAAUACAUGGAGUAGGCUUUGCUAUGAAAAAACAAUCUUGUGAAGCUCUUGUCAGAAGUCGCAUUAAUGAGCGACUUUCAACACUUCGAAUAAAACUCGCUAAAAAACCAACAGGCUACUAGUCUAAGCACUUACACACCAACACUGGAUGCUGAUGAAAACAUUAAAGAAAAAUUUUACUCUCAGCUGGAUACCAUCCUAUCUGGGCGAGAUUUUGAUCUGUGGCCUGGGACUAUUGGGAAAGAAGGAAUUGGCAACAGCAACCAGAACAGAAUCUUACUUUUUAUUAUAUGUGCAGCACACAACUUUGUUAUUAACAACACACUCUUUCAUCAAAAAAAUAAAUUUAAAACCACUGGUACCUUUGACUUAGACUAUGUAGUUGUCCAAGCAUAAGAUUGCCGUGAUGUGCUCCUUACCAGAGCUAUGACGAGUGCCAACGAAUGCUGGACAGAUCACCGAUUAAUAUGCUCCACAAUGGCUAUCAAGCUUGUACCUCAACACAGGCUUCAAGGGAACCAAGGUGCAAAAUGAACACUCAAUCCCUUCAAGAGCCUAUUAAUCGGGAUUGCUUCCAAAUGAUUCAUAAGGACCAUCUGCUUUUGGAGUUCU
rnacentral:lncRNA from 1 species